rnacentral:tRNA from 1 species
UCUGGAGUAGCUCAAUGGUAGAGCAGUUGGCUGUUAACCAAUUGGUUGCCGGUUCGAGUCCGGCCUCCAGAGCCA